AGCAAGGUGGCCGAGCGGUCUAAGGCGUCAGGUUAAGGUCCACCUUAGCAAACAGCUUCCAAAGCUUCCUGAUCAUCGUCAGAUGGCGUGGGUUCGAAUCCCACCCUUGUCA
rnacentral:tRNA from 1 species